UCCCAUUCCGCUAGGGGGCUCUGUAGUUGUUUUGCAUUGGUAGUGGAGGGGAGGUGAAAGAAGAGAAGAAACUUACGGCAGGCCAGUAAUACACCGAGACUGCCGUUAGCUGAAGCUAACAAGCUGAAGCUACAAUAAAAUCAUAUUCUACUGGCGUUCAUGAGUGUUGCCCAACGUGGUGAGUUUUUUUGCUUGAGUUGGAAG